rnacentral:lncRNA from 1 species
UGUCCACGCAUUGCAUUAAAUUAUCGUCCGUCGAACUUCUUUUGUCUCUCGACUUGUUCGACGUCGACAUGGUUUGAAGAUUCCCAGCCGUUAUCGUGUUGUUUUACUUUUCUUGUCGCCUUUCUUUCUCUUUCCUCCUUGUUCAAUCUUGUAUUAGGCCAUCGUUCACCGAACUUCUUUUGUCUUUCAACUUGUUUGGCGUCGGUGUCACUCGGAGAUGUCCAGUCAUCGCCACAUUGAUUUGCUCUUCUUAUCGUCCAUGGC